GAUGAACGCUGACAGAAUGCUUAACACAUGCAAGUCUUUGGCAAAGCUGUGCUUGCACAGCCUAGCCAAGGCGGACGGGUGAGUAACGCGUAAGGAACUUGCCCUGCAGUCAGGGAUAACAGACGGAAACGACUGAUAAGACCUGGUAAAGUCAGGCGGACUCAUGUCCAGCCUGAUGAAAAGAGAUGCUGCAGGAGAGCCUUGCGUCCUAUUAGCUUGUUGGUGGGGUAACGGCCCACCAAGGCGAUGAUAGGUAGCCGGCCUGAGAGGGUGGACGGCCACAAGGGGACUGAGAUACGGCCCUUACUCCUACGGGAGGCAGCAGUGGGGAAUAUUGGACAAUGGGGGCAACCCUGAUCCAGCAAUUCUGUGUGCACGAUGAAGGUUUUCGGAUUGUAAAGUGCUUUCAGCAGGGAAGAAAAAAAUGACGGUACCUGCAGAAGAAGCGACGGCUAAAUACGUGCCAGCAGCCGCGGUAAUACGUAUGUCGCAAGCGUUAUCCGGAAUUAUUGGGCAUAAAGGGCAUCUAGGCGGCCAGAUAAGUCUGGGGUGAAAACUUGCGGCUCAACCGCAAGCCUGCCCUGGAAACUAUGUGGCUAGAGUACUGGAGAGGUGGACGGAACUGCACGAGUAGAGGUGAAAUUCGUAGAUAUGUGCAGGAAUGCCGAUGAUGAAGAUAGUUCACUGGACGGUAACUGACGCUGAAGUGCGAAAGCUAGGGGAGCAAACAGG
rnacentral:rRNA from 1 species